CUACGGGUGGCUGCAGUGGGGAAUAUUGGACAAUGGGGGAAACCCUGAUCCAGCAAUGCCGCGUGUGUGAAGAAGGCCUGCGGGUUGUAAAGCACUUUCGGUUGGGAGGACUGCUUCUAGCACUAAUAUUGUUGGAAGUUGACGUUACCUUCAGAGGAAGCACCGGCUAACUCCGUGCCAGCAGCCGCGGUAAUACGGAGGGUGCAAGCGUUAAUCGGAAUUACUGGGCGUAAAGCGCGCGUAGGCGGCUAGAUCAGUCGGGUGUGAAAGCCCCGGGCUUAACCUGGGAACUGCAUCCGAUACUGUCUAGCUUGAGUACAGGAGAGGAGAGUGGAAUUCCACAUGUAGCGGUGAAAUGCGUAGAUAUGUGGAGGAACACCAAUGGCGAAGGCAGCUCUCUGGCCUGAUACUGACGCUGAGGUGCGAAAGCGUGAGGAGCAAACAGGAUUAGAUACCCGCGUAGUC
rnacentral:rRNA from 1 species